rnacentral:rRNA from 2 species
UCUGGUGUCAGCCGCCGCGGUAAAACCAGCACCUCAAGUGGUCAGGAUGAUUAUUGGGCCUAAAGCAUCCGUAGCCUGCUUUGUUAGUUUUCGGUUAAAUCCAUACGCUCAACGUAUGGGCUGCCGGGAAUACUGCAAAGCUAGGGAGUGGGAGAGGUAGACGGUACUCGGUAGGAAGGGGUAAAAUCCUUUGAUCUAUUGAUGACCACCUGUGGCGAAGGCGGUCUACCAGAACACGUCCGACGGUGAGGGAUGAAAGCUGGGGGAGCAAACCGGAUUAGAUACCCGGGUAGUCCCAGCUGUAAACUAUGCAAACUCGGUGAUGCAUUGGCUUGAUGCCAAUGCAGUGCCGCAGGGAAGCCGUUAAGUUUGCCGCCUGGGAAGUACGUACGCAAGUAUGAAACUUAAAGGAAUUGGCGGGGGAGCACCACAAGGGGUGAAGCCUGCGGUUCAAUUGGAGUCAACGCCGGAAAUCUUACCCGGAGAGACAGCAGAAUGAAGGUCAAGCUGAAGACUUUACCAGACAAGCU